GACAGAGGGUGCAAACGUUGCUCGGAAUCACUGGGCGUAAAGGGCGUGUAGGCGGGAAAGUAAGUCGGGCGUGAAAUCCCUAGGCUCAACCUAGGAACUGCACUCGAAACUACUUUUCUUGAGUGCCGGAGAGGAAAGCGGAAUUCCUGGUGUAGAGGUGAAAUUCGUAGAUAUCAGGAGGAACACCUAUUGCGAAGGCAGCUCGCUGGGACGUAACUGACGCUGAGACGCGAAAGCGUGGGGAGCAAACAGG
rnacentral:rRNA from 1 species